AUUGAACGCUGGCGGCAGGCCUAACACAUGCAAGUCGAGCGGCAGCGGAAAGUAGCUUGCUACUUUGCCGGCGAGCGGCGGACGGGUGAGUAAUGUCUGGGAAACUGCCUGAUGGAGGGGGAUAACUACUGGAAACGGUAGCUAAUACCGCAUAACGUCGCAAGACCAAGAGGGGGACCUUCGGGCCUCUUGCCAUCAGAUGUGCCCAGAUGGGAUUAGCUAGUAGGUGGGGUACCGGCUCACCUAGGCGACGAUCCCUAGCUGGACUGAGAGGAUGACCAGCCACACUGGAACUGAGACACGGUCCAGACUCCUACGGGAGGCAGCAGUGGGGAAUAUUGCACAAUGGGCGCAAGCCUGAUGCAGCCAUGCCGCGUGUAUGAAGAAGGCCUUCGGGUUGUAAAGUACUUUCAGCGGGGAGGAAGGUGUUGUGGUUAAUAACCACAGCAAUUGACGUUACCCGCAGAAGAAGCACCGGCUAACUCCGUGUCAGCCGCCGCCGUAA
rnacentral:rRNA from 1 species